GCCAGGUGUGUUGGCACAUGUCUGUAAUCUCAGCAACUCAAGAGGCUAAGGCAGGAGAAUUGCUAGUUUGAGGCCAGUCUCAGCAAUUUAGUGAGACCUUGUCUCCA
rnacentral:sRNA from 1 species